CCACCAGCCACCACAACAUGCUGAUGCUUCUAACGCAUGAGCCCCAAUUAACUCUCCCACCCAGUUCCUCAAUUAACUCCACAGUCCAUUGAUUUCCGUAACUCUAUUCAUCUUCUCCACUGAGUAAUCGGUGCUGUGGAUCUCCCCUUUAAGCUUCCAUCUUUGCUCACAUGGAUCCCCCUUGCCUAACCUAGGGUGGGUGGUCGGACCGAGGUGAGCUCCCCUCCCGGCGCCACGCCUGCCACUGCCGGCGCCAUCGACUGCCACCCCUCCUUCUCCGCCCCCGCUGCUGUCCUUGGUGGCCUCCGACGGGCCCUGCUUCAUCUGUCUCUCCCUGCAGAUGGACGACAUGAAGAGGAGAUUGCUGCAUGCGGUGGUGGCCUAUACUGGUGGUCCGAAUCAGACUGGCCGCUGGUGUCUCACCUGGAAGGAAGCUCUGCCCGACGACUCAGCCAUGGAGUGGAUGCCGCAUGGGCCAGGUCCCUAGCCGGUGCAUGGAUUUCUUUUCGGCCUCGAAGGGAUGGGCUGAUGGUGACGCCGGUGAGGCCUCCAUUGCAGGAGCGUUGGAUCGACCUCGACUCCGAUUUAGAGUCGGCUUGCUCCCCCAACGUCACCUGUACCAAAGGAGCCAUUUUUCGGAGAAAGCUCUGUUUGGUCUCCAUCCACAUCCUACUGGCAGCAAACCCGGAUGAGGAGGUGUAGUGUGAACAACUCUACCUAUCGAUCAACAAUAAAUGAUCUGUCCAGUGAAAGGUUUCUUUUCAUAAGCAUGUUCUAGGCAUUUUUGUUUUUGAAUCUUGAACUGAUAGCAAAAUGUUUCAGAUAAUGUUCUCUUGAUUUCUGAUAUUGAAUAGUUAAAGAUGAAUCCAGCCACAUUUCUCUACUGUACUUAUUGAUACAAGCUUUGAUUUUUUGGACCACAACUGUUUUACCUCCGACAAUGCCAUCGAGCAUCAGCUCCCUAUAUUUUGCUAUAUAUAAUUUUUUUAAAGUUUAUACUCUACUGUAGAGUUUUUUUAUCAGGAACUAAUUGGGGCUUUCUCUAUAAGUAGCGCUUUUUAUACAGCUCUGACCUCUACUCUUUUUCUUGGUGUAGAUUAUCAUCUUUCUCCUACGAUGUUGCACAUUAUAUUAUUUGAGCAUUGCUACCUUUGGUUGCAUUGCUCCAGUUUUUAUGGCAUGACAUUAGAACCAUGUAACAAAGGAAUUCCGGUUUUAGUUGAAACCUGACUCCAAUGACAUAGUAGAUACAAAUUGCAUUGGGAUUUAGAUCUACACGUUUGGACUUCAACUAUUUGUCAUGCCUAACAUCACGUUAUUCGAUGGAGGAUGUACGAGUGUAAUGUAUUCCUUAUGAAGAUGUAAAAUUUAUGGUCAAUGAACAGAAUUGCUUCACUUGGUAAUAUUAAAUAUGAACACAGUU